AUUGAACGCUGGCGGCAUGCCUUACACAUGCAAGUCGAACGGCAGCACGGGGGGUAACCCCUGGUGGCGAGUGGCGAACGGGUGAGUAAUACAUCGGAACGUGUCCUGUAGCGGGGGAUAACCUCUCGAAAGAGAGGCUAAUACCGCAUACGACCCAUGGGUGAAAGAGGGGGCUCGCAAGAACCUCUCACUAUUGGAGCGGCCGAUGUCGGAUUAGCUAGUUGGUGGGGUAAAAGCCACCAAGGCUACGAUCCGUAGCUGGUCUGAGAGGACGACCAGCCACACUGGAACUGAGACACGGUCCAGACUCCUACGGGAGGCAGCAGUGGGGUAAUUUUGGACAAUGGGCGCAAGCCUGAUCCAGCCAUGCCGCGUGGGUGAAGAAGG
rnacentral:rRNA from 1 species